GUGGGGAAUCUUCCGCAAUGGACGAAAGUCUGACGGAGCAACGCCGCGUGAGUGAUGAAGGUCUUCGGAUUGUAAAGCUCUGUUAAUCGGGACGAAAGAGCCUAGUGUGAAUAAUGCUAGGAAGUGACGGUACCGGAAUAGAAAGCCACGGCUAACUACGUGCCAGCAGCCGCGGUAAUACGUAGGUGGCAAGCGUUGUCCGGAAUUAUUGGGCGUAAAGCGCGCGCAGGCGGAUCUGCCAGUCUGUCUUAAAAGUUCGGGGCUUAACCCCGUGAUGGGAUGGAAACUACAGAGCUAGAGUAUCGGAGAGGAAAGUGGAAUUCCUAGUGUAGCGGUGAAAUGCGUAGAUAUUAGGAAGAACACCAGUGGCGAAGGCGACUUUCUGGACGAAAACUGACGCUGAGGCGCGAAAGCCAGGGGAGCGAACGGGAUUAGAAACCCUUGUAGUCC
rnacentral:rRNA from 1 species